GAAAUGCGAUAAGUAGUGUGAAUUGCAGAAUUCAGUGAAUCAUCGAAUCUUUGAACACACAUUGCGCCCUUUGGUAUUCCUUAGGGCAUGCCUGUUCGAGCGUCAUCUAAACCUUCAAGCCCUGCUUGGUGUUGGGCCCUGGCGUCUCGUUCGCGAGACGGGCCCGAAAGGCAGCGGCGGCGUCGACCCGAUGAGCCCGAGCGUAUGGGGACUUUUGUCACACGUUUGCGGUGCGGACCGGCGCCUGCUUGACUUUUCUGAUUAUCCAGGUUGACCUCGGAUCAGGUAGGGAUACCCGCUGAACUUAAGC
rnacentral:misc_RNA from 1 species